GCAUCCGUAGCUCAAAAGGUAGAGUAUUUGACUUCUAAUCAAUUGGUUCCGAGUUCAAGUCUCGGCGGGUGU
rnacentral:tRNA from 1 species